UGGGGAAUUUUGGACAAUGGGCGAAAGCCUGAUCCAGCAAUGCCGCGUGUGUGAAGAAGGCCUUCGGGUUGUAAAGCACUUUUGUCCGGAAAGAAAUCCUUGGCUCUAAUACAGUCGGGGGAUGACGGUACCGGAAGAAUAAGCACCGGCUAACUACGUGCCAGCAGCCGCGGUAAUACGUAGGGUGCAAGCGUUAAUCGGAAUUACUGGCGUAAAGCGUGCGCAGGCGGUUUGCUAAGACCGAUGUGAAAUCCCCGGGCUCAACCUGGGAACUGCAUUGGUGACUGGCAGGCUAGAGUAUGGCAGAGGGGGGUAGAAUUCCACGUGUAGCAGUGAAAUGCGUAGAGAUGUGGAGGAAUACCGAUGGCGAAGGCAGCCCCCUGGGCCAAUACUGACGCUCAUGCACGAAAGCGUGGGGAGCAAACAGGAUUAGAUACCCUGGUAGUCCACGCCCUAAACGAUGUCAACUAGUUGUUGGGGAUUCAUUUCCUUAGUAACGUAGCUAACGCGUGAAGUUGACCGCCU
rnacentral:rRNA from 1 species